ACACAUGAUAAUUCAUACAAGACAAAAACCAUUUGGCUGUUCUGAAUGUGGUCAAAGAUUUGGACGAAAGAGCAACCUGAAACGACACAUGAUAAUUCAUACAGGACAAAAACAUUUGGCUGUUCUGAAUGUGGUCAAAGAUUUGGACGAAAGAGCAA